UGGGGAAUAUUGCACAAUGGGCGCAAGCCUGAUGCAGCCAUGCCGCGUGUAUGAAGAAGGCCUUCGGGUUGUAAAGUACUUUCAGCGGGGAGGAAGGGAGUAAAGUUAAUACCUUUGCUCAUUGACGUUACCCGCAGAAGAAGCACCGGCUAACUCCGUGCCAGCAGCCGCGGUAAUGCGGAGGGUGCAAGCGUUAAUCGGAAUUACUGGGCGUAAAGCGCACGCAGGCGGUUUGUUAAGUCAGAUGUGAAAUCCCCGGGCUCAACCUGGGAACUGCAUCUGAUACUGGCAAGCUUGAGUCUCGUAGAGGGGGGUAGAAUUCCAGGUGUAGCGGUGAAAUGCGUAGAGAUCUGGAGGAAUACCGGUGGCGAAGGCGGCCCCCUGGACGAAGACUGACGCUCAGGUGCGAAAGCGUGGGGAGCAAACAGG
rnacentral:rRNA from 1 species